AUGCCACCACACCCUCACCCACCUCUCUCUCCCCCACCUCUCUCUCUCUCCCACCUCUCUCUCUCCCCCACCUCUCUCUCUCUCUCUCUCUCUCUCUCUCUCUCUCUCUCUCUCUCUCUCUCUCUCUCUCUCUCUCUCUCUCUCUCUCACCUCUCUCUCUCUCCCCCACCUCUCUCUCUAACAUCUCUGGUCCACCUCUCUCUCCCCCACCUCUCUCUCUCUCUCCCACCUCUCUCUCUCCCCCACCUCUCUCUCUCUCCCCCACCUCUUUCUCUCUCCCCCAACUCUCUCUCUCUCUCCCCCACCUCUCUCUCUCUCCCACCUCUCUCCCUCACCUCUCUCUCUCUCUCCCCUACCUCUCUCUCUCCCCCACCUCUCUCUCUCUCCCCCACCUCUCUCUCUCUCUCUCCCACCUCUCUCUCUCCCCCACCUCUCUCUCUCUCCCACCUCUCUCUCUCUCCCCCACCUCUCUCUCUCUCCCCCACCUCUUUCUCUCUCCCCCAACUCUCUCUCUCUCUCCCCCACCUCUCUCUCUCUCCCCCACCUCUCUCUCUCUCUCUCACCUCUCUCUCUCCCCCACCUCUCUCUCUCUCCCACCUCUCUCUCUCUCCCCCACCUCUCUCUCUCUCUCCCACCUCUCUCUCUCCCCCACCUCUCUCUCUCUCCCACCUCUCUCUCUCUCUCUCUCCCACCUCUCUCUCUCCCCCACCUCUCUCUCUCUCCCACCUCUCUCUCUCUCCCCCACCUCUCUCUCUCUCCCCCACCUCUCUCUCUCUCCCCCACCACACUCUCCCCCACCCCUCUCUCUCUCUCCCCCUACUCUCUCUCUCUCUCCCACCUCUAUCUCUCUCCCCCACCACUCUCUCCCCCACCCCCCUCUCUCUCUCUCCCCCACCCCUCUCUCUCUCUCCCCCACCUCUCACCCGACCCUCUCCCCAGACUCAUCGCCCUCCACCCCCCAGCCGUCGGACCCGGCCACCGCCCCCCCCCCGGCCCCCCCGCCGGCGCUGCCCUGGCCGGCGGUCCCUGGGGGGGGCGUGGUGGGCGUCGGCGGAGCAGGGGGCGGAGCAGGGGGCGGGCCCUGCGGCGGGGAGGCCGGCAAGUACUGCUGCCUGUGCGGCGCCUGGUUCAACAACCCCCUGA
rnacentral:lncRNA from 1 species